rnacentral:rRNA from 1 species
GACGAACGCUGGCGGCGUGCUUAACACAUGCAAGUCGAACGGAAAGGCCCUGCUUUUGUGGGGUGCUCGAGUGGCGAACGGGUGAGUAACACGUGAGUAACCUGCCCUUGACUUUGGGAUAACUUCAGGAAACUGGGGCUAAUACCGGAUAGGAUCUCCUGCUGCAUGGUGGGGGGUGGAAAGUUUCGGCGGUUGGGGUUGGACGCGCGGCUUACCAGCUUGUUGGUGGGGUAGUGGCUUACCAAGGCUUGGACGGGUAGCCGGCCUGAGAGGGUGGCCGGCCACAUUGCGACUGAGAGACGGCCCAGACUCCUACGGGAGGCAGCAGUGGGGAAUCUUGCACAAUGGGCGGAAGCCUGAUGCAGCAGCGCCGCGUGCGGGAUGACGGCCUUCGGGUUGUAAACCGCUUUCGCCUGUGACGAAGCGUGAGUGACGGUAAUGGGUAAAGAAGCACCGGCUAACUACGUG